rnacentral:rRNA from 1 species
CAAUAGCGUAUAUUAAAGCUGUUGCAGUUAAAAAGCUCGUAGUUGGAUUUCUGUUAAAAGCAAGUAGCCCGCUCUUUGGGUGUUGUGCUCACGUCGUUUUUAACAUUUUUCUGUUUGAUAUAUAGUCUUGUUUGUUCUUCAUUGAGCAGACAACGACUGUAGAACAGAACUUUUACUUUGAGAAAAUUAGAGUGUUCUAAGCAGGCUAGUGCCUUGAAUACUGCAGCAUGGAAUAAUAAGAUAGGAUUUCAAUUCUAUUUUAUUGGUUCUAAGGAUUGAAAUAAUGAUUAAUAGGGACAGUUGGGGGCAUUCGUAUUUAACUGUCAGAGGUGAAAUUCUUAGAUUUGUUAAAGACGAACUACUGCGAAAGCAUUUGCCAAGGAUGUUUUCAUUAAC